rnacentral:lncRNA from 1 species
AAGAAAUGACUUCACAGCUAACUCGGGUCACCAGCCACCAUUAUCCACCACGCCAUAGGUCUUCUCCAGGAUCAUGACGACGAGCUUAAUCAGAAUCUGAGGUCAAUUUCAACAGAUCAUUGUUAUAAUGUCCAAAUAGAAAUGGAAUCAUGAAGAAACCUAAGCCAAAAUAAAGAUAAAUUAAAUGAUGAACAUUCAUAGAUUCAUGCUCAGACCUUAGGGCUAUUGACCCCUAGAUCAUCCUCUAUGAAAUGGUAACAAGAUCAUGGCAAACAGAAGAGAAGAAAAUUCACCUCUUAAACGAAGAUUUGUUUCGGCGAGCAUUAAAUCGGAGAAGAUGAAGAUGCAACAGAAAAUCACUUGAAAUAGGUAACUCUUGAACCUAGCUCCUUACUUUGAUUCUCUUCUUCUUCUAAAACCCUUCUGCAAAUUGAGAUAUUGAAGUAAUCGAGAUAUUGACGAGAGGAAGUGUAACGAUGGAAGGCUUAUCUCAACUCUAUUAAAGCUUAGAGGUGAAGCUUUAAUGGAGUUUUUGAGAGAGCUUUGUGUGAGGGUGAAGAGAGGAUUGAGAUGAAAAGUGAAUCUCAAAAAAAUCAGAGGUGAAAAUGAAUGCCUCCUCGAUGACGAAUGAGUGAUGAAUAUUUAUAGAUGAUGAGUGAUUCAGCUUCAGUUAUGAAAUACCAUUGAAAUGGAACAGAAAUUCACAUUGGGUUAGUUACAAAUGCAAAAUUUUGUUAGAGUUGAAUAUGAGUGAAACUGGGGUUAGUUUGGAAGUUGCAAUUCAAUUAGUUUCAAUGUGAAGUUCGGUUAGUUCUCAUGAUUAUGUGUGGUGCAUUACAUUGUUAGAUAUUGUGGAAUUUAUGUUGUUUAAUCAAAAUGUGUAGGGUUUACUUGUUUUGCUGAUUAUGCUGGAUGUUAACAAAGCCUUCUGUUUGUAAUUUGAAGAUGGAUAUUCUGAGUUUUGCAGGGCAAUGUGCGUCAGCUAAUUUUCUAUCAUGGGCUAGUGGUUCCGGGGUAGAAAUGCAGGGUGAUGGACAUGUUGAAUUUGGCAAUGUUGGUUCGGUAUGAAGCAAGGCAAUGUUUGUUGAGUUCCUUUUGUUAUGCAGGUCAUAAUGAAGCUUGUUAUGCCACUGACAUUACUUGGAAUCCUUGUUACAUCAUGUUAGAUGGGAAUUAAAUUGGGAGUUUGGGAUUAUGGAUCGUGUAGAACUUGUUAAUUGACUUGUGCUAAUGAAUUUUGUAAUUUUGAAGUUUGAAUGUAUGGUCAUGUAAUUUUGAAUGAUGUAUGCAAUUUGAAUUGAAGAUGUAUCGGUUGGAAUGUAUUUAUGUUUGGUAUUGAUGGUUUAUUUAUGAGAAUGGAAUUAUGAAAUUGAUUAGGGCUUAAUGUAAUAGAUUGAAUGGUUGAAUAUAUGGUUUAUGAUGGUUAGGAAAA